rnacentral:rRNA from 1 species
GGGUCCGGACACACUGAGGAUUGACAGGCAAAAGAUACAAGUUUUCUUUGUGAGAGCUUGCAUUGUAAAAUAUGCGAGUCCUUUCAUGAUUAUGUGAUAGGUGGUGCAUGGCCGUUCUUAGUUCGUGGAGUGAUCUGUCUGCUUAAUUGCGUUUCACAACGAUUUAAAAUGCUAUGUUUUCUGUGUUUGCUGUUCGGUUUUAGCUCUUACGGGAGUUUUUAACUUUGAACGCACACGGCGUAGCUUAAAACAAUCGGAAAGCAACGAACGUGACCGCAACCUCUUGUUGCCUUUAUUUUUAAAAGCGUAGAAAAUUUUAUAUUUUCUUACGCUUGAAAAAGGCUUUAAAACUAGAGGGACCGCUGUUCUAUUCUCUUAAACCAGAGGAAGAUUGCGGCAAUAACAGGUCUGUGAUGCCCUCAGAUGUUCCGGGCUGCACACGUGCUACAAUGAUUGUUGCAGUGAGCAUCUAUUUUCAAACGCUACCGUUGCGGAUUUUGUGAGAAGGGAGCUUGUUUUAAAGCUUUCGGGUGGAGAAGCAGGUUUCUUUUUUUCACAAUUUAUUCCGCGUUACGUGUCAGCUAAACCUGCUUCGAAAGCAAGUAGGU